UACAGAGGUCUCAAGCGUUGUUCGGAAUUACUGGGCGUAAAGGGUGCGUAGGCGGUGCGGGCAGUCAAAUGUGUAAUCCAGGGGCUCAACCCCUGAACUGCGCUUGAUACUUCCGCGCUCGAGCUUUGGAGAGGAGUCUGGAAUUCUCGGUGUAGCAGUGAAAUGCGUGGAUAUCGAGAAGAACACUUAGGGCGUAGGCAAGACUCUGGACAAAUGCUGACGCUCAUGCACGAAGGCUAGGGUAGCGAACGGG
rnacentral:rRNA from 1 species